ensembl:lncRNA
AUGACACACAAACUGGACACACACACACUGGACACACACACACACACUGGAUACCACACACUGGACUCACACACAACAGUGGACAAACACACACACACACACACUGGACAAACACACACACACACACACUUGACACACACAACUGGGACCACACACACACACACUGGACACACACACACACACACUGGACACACACACACACUGGACACACACACACUGGAUACAAACACACACACACUGGACACACACACACACUGGACACACACACACUGGAUACAAACACACACACACACACAACUGAACACACUGAACACACACACACACACUUGGACACACACACACACACACACACUGGACACAACACACACACUGGCUGACUCACACACACACACACAAACCACACACACUGGACUCACACACACACACACACACACACACACACUUGGACUCACACACACAACACACACACACACACGACAAACACACACACACACACUGGACAAACACACACACACACUGGACUCACACACACACACACACACAAACACUGGACACACACACGGGCACACACACACUCACACACACACACACUGGACAAACACACACACACACUGGACAAACAGGACACACACACCACACAACCACACACACUCACUGGACACACACACACAGGACACACACACACACACUGGACACACACACACACACUCACUGGACACACACUGGACACACACACACACUCACUGGACAACACACACAGGACAACACCACACACACUCACACUGGACAAACACACACACACACACACUGGACAAACACACACAACACACACUGGACAAACACACACACACACACACACACACACACACUGGACACACACACACACACAACACACUGGACACACACACACACACACACACACACCUGGACACACACACACAAUACUGGACAAACACACACACACACACACACUGGACAAACACACACACACUGGACAAACACACACACACACACACACACUGGACAAACACACACACACACUGGACAAACACCACACACACACACUGGACAAAACACACACACACACACUGGACAAACACACACACACACACUGGACAAACACACACACACACGACAAACACACACACACACUGGACAAACACACACACACACACUGGACAAACACACACACACCACACACACACACACACACACACACACACACACACACUGGACACACACACUGGACAAACACACCCACUGGACAAAGAACGCGCACACAACCACACCACACACACACACACACACACACUGAACACACACACACUAGACAAAACACACACACUGGACACACACACACACACACACUGGACACACAACACACUGGACUCACCACACACACACACACACACACACACACACACACACACACACACACACACACACACACACAAACACUGGACAAACACACACACGACAAACACACACACACCACACUGGACAAACACACACACACACACACUGGACAACACCACAGACUGGACAAAGACGCGCACACACACACACACACACACUAGACAAACACACACUGGACACACACACACACUGGACAACCACACACACACACACACCACACACACACACACACUGGACACACACACACACACCACAAACACUGGACAAACACACACACACCACACUGGACAAACACACACUGUACAAACACACACUGGACACACACACACUCAAUGGACAAAACACACACCUGGACUCACACACACACACACACACACUGGACUCACACACACACACACACACAAACACUGGACAAACACACACACACACACUGGACAACACACAACUGUACAAACACAAACUGGACACACACACACACACUGGACACACACACACACACACUGGACACACACACACUGGACAAACACACACACACUGGACACACACACACUGGAUACAAACACCACACACCACUACACACUGAACACACGACACCACGCCACACUAGAAAAACACACACUGGACACACACACACACACGGACACACACACACACACACACUGGACCACACACCACACUGGACUCACACACACACACACACACACUGGACUCACACACACACACACACACACCACACACACACACACGACAAACAACACACACACACACACUGGACAACACACACACACACCACUGGACAAACACACACACACACACACUGGACACACACACACUCACACCACACACUACAAACACAACACACCACUGGACAAACAGGACACACACACACCACACACACUCACUGGACACACACACACAGGACACACACACACACACACUGGACACACACACCACACACAAGCAAUGGACACACACUGGACACACCACACCACACACUCACUGGACACACACACACACACAGGACAAACACACACACCCACACACACACUGGACAAACACAACAACACACACACACUGGACAAACACACACACACACACACACACACUGGACACCACACACACACACACACAUGGGACACACACACACACAACACCACACACUGGACACACACACCACACAUACUGGACAAACACACACACACACACACACAUACUGGACAAACACACACACACACUGGGACACACACACUGGGACAAAACCACACACACUGGACAAACCACACCACACACACACACUGGACAAACACACACACACACCACACACACAUGGACAAACACACACACACACACACACACUGGACAAACACACACACACACGACAAACACAAACACACACACUGGACAAACACACACACAACACUGGACACACACACACACACACAACACACACACACACACACACCACAACACACACACACUGGACACACACACUGGAUACAAACACAACACACACACACUGGACAAACACACACACUGGACAAAGACGCGCAACACACACACACACACACACACACACACUGA